AACGCAACGCGCCACGCAACCAGCGAAAUUGAAGCCGCGCCUCGCGAAAUCGAACCCCGGGUGUUCGACGACCUGGCAUUCCGCGACUCAAUGAAACACGCCCAUUGUUAAAUGCGCCCCGGCGUUCGAUUUCACGGUAUUACUUUUAUCCGCCAAUCGAAACUAUUUCAUCGCGAAAUUUUUUAGCGCGUAUUUUAAUUUUUUCAGCGGUAUUCCGCUGCGAGGCAUUCCUUCCAUCGCGGCAACGAAUAUUUUAUUGUUUAUUCGUUUGCUUUUCAUUGAUAGGAACGACGGCGAGAAGUGCAGGCAGAUGCGACCCCUAUCCCUACGGAAUUCUAGAAGUGGUCAAUGUAUGCACUGCGAAUAUAUACGCGGCGUACCCAUAAACCAGCAUAUAUUUGUGAAACUGGACGCGAGUGUUUACUCCGUUUGAUGCAAUCCAUGCGUUUAGAAACGGUUUACACAGGAAAAAAUUAAUACAACCAGGAUCGAUCACUCGGGGCUAUACUCCUCGGUUACAUGGCUUGUGGAAUGUCCAACUCGAAAAACUGUUCGAUUUCAUGUUACAAAUUAGUUGGAUUCUGAACUGCUUAUUACUGAACUUAUAUUUCAGUUGAACUGACAAUUUCAUUUGGCACUCUGCUGGUAAAUAGACAGCAUUUUCAAUGGAGUACUCUACAUAAUCGACAGGCUACUCUACAUUAUCAACAAAAUAAUCUACAGUCCCAAUGGCGUUCUCUACAUUACCAACAAGAGACUCUACAUUAUCAA